rnacentral:rRNA from 1 species
UGGGGAAUCUUGCACAAUGGGGGAAACCCUGAUGCAGCGACGCCGCGUGAGCGAUGAAGGUUUUCGAAUCGUAAAGCUCUGUCCUAUGGGAAGAUAAUGACGGUACCAUGGGAGGAAGCCCCGGCUAACUACGUGCCAGCAGCCGCGGUAAUACGUAGGGGGCGAGCGUUGUCCGGAAUUACUGGGCGUAAAGGGUUCGAAGGCGGCAUGGCAAGUCCGAUGUAAAAGGCGAAGGCUCAACCUUCGUAAGCAUCGGAAACUGUCAAGCUUGAGUGAAGGAGAGGCAAGUGGAAUUCCUAGUGUAGCGGUGGAAUGCGUAGAUAUUAGGAGGAAUACCGGUGGCGAAGGCGACUUGCUGGACUUCAACUGACGCUGAGGAACGAAAGCGUGGGUAGCAAACAGG